rnacentral:rRNA from 1 species
UACGAAGGGGGCUAGCGUUGCUCGGAAUCACUGGGCGUAAAGCGCACGUAGGCGGGUCUCUAAGUCAGGGGUGAAAUCCUGGAGCUCAACUCCAGAACUGCCUUUGAUACUGGGAAGCUUGAGUCCGGGAGAGGUGAGUGGAACUCCGAGUGUAGAGGUGAAAUUCGUAGAUAUUCGGAAGAACACCAGUGGCGAAGGCGGCUCACUGGCCCGGUACUGACGCUGAGGUGCGAAAGCGUGGGGAGCAAACAGG